rnacentral:lncRNA from 12 species
GGGGGGGGGGGGGGGGGGGGGGGGGGGGGGGGGGGGGGGGGGGGGGGGGGGGGGGGGGGGGGGGGGGGGGGGGUCCAUCGCUCGCUUCGGCAGGUCCGGGCGGGCCGCGGAGAGGAGCUCUCUAGUCCAGCGUCAUUGAGGGGGGUCAGGGAGAUAAACGAAGCAGAUUUAUAUACAAUCCAAUUUAUAGCCUGGAAGGAGGGGGGGGGGAGAAAUGCCACUUGUACCCCCCCGCCCACGCCCACUCCGCCCCCGCAAGACAAUCCGUGGGUGCAGGUCUCUGAGCAGGUCGGCUCCGCGCCGCUCGGUUGUCCCCCUUCAGCGCCCGCUGCGUCUCAACGUGCCAUCAAAGUUGACCCGGAGCAUAGCUGGGGAGGGAGCCGGGGGCGGCGGGCAGGGGGUGCGCGGCUGGCAGCUCCACUGUUGCGAGUCUUCUCCCCCCACCGUCCCGCUUAUUAUUAGCGAGAUGCUUUUAUUUUCGAAGCAGCGCGGAGGGUCCGGAGUCCGGCGCGGAUGCGGCGGCGGCGCCCGGGGACCCCGCCGCGGGCAGGGCAGCGCACGCUGCGCGGCGCGGAGCGGAGCGGGGAAGCGGCGCGAUCCCGGCGAUCCAGGAGAAGCUGCGCGGAUCCACUCGUGA